GCCUGCCUAGCUCAAAUGGAUAGAGCAUCAGACUCAUAAAACUGAGGGUGCGAGUUCAAGUCUUGCGGUAGGUA
rnacentral:tRNA from 1 species